rnacentral:lncRNA from 1 species
CUGACUGUCUCACUCUCUAGCAUAUCCAUUCAGAGACUUAAAGAACAGUUACAAGCCUCCUUUCAUAUGAAAGAUCUCGGCAACCUGCAUUAUUUUCUCGAUCUUGAGGUUCAUUCUACAUCCAAGGGUAUCUUCCUCCAUCAAGACAAGUAUGACACAUGAGACAUACCCCACACAUCUCUUGAGCAGUCGAAAAGGAACGUAAAUUAUUAACUACACUUGCUCGGAUUACCAUGAGGGCGUUGAGCUUUUUGGAUUGUUGAACAAAUGGUAGAUUACGUCAUCAGUCUCUAUAUAUAAGCAAUUUAUUUGAUAAAAAUUUAUCCUUAAUUAGUCCCUUUUUAAAUUACUAAAUACUUUUAUUGCUUCUUGUCCAAAUAAACCACUAAUUAAUACCAUUAAGUGUUUUGAAUAAUGAAAAAUCAAAAUUUACUUCACAUGCAUAUACAAAUGACAUUUUAGGUAUCGAUUGUUGGGUGGGGGCGAUCCCUUUUCGGGAGAGAUUUAGGAGGCUUUUU